rnacentral:rRNA from 1 species
CUCCUUUCUAAGGAAGAUGU